GAUGAACGCUAGCGGCAGGCCUAACACAUGCAAGUCGAGGGGUAGAAGGAGCUUGCCCCUUUGAGACCGGCGCACGGGUGCGUAACGCGUAUGCAAUCUACCUUGUACAGGGGAAUAGGCCAGAGAAAUUUGGAUUAAUGACCCAAAGAAUAUAACCUUCGCAUGUUGGAUAUAUUAAAGUUCCCACGGUACAAGAUGAGCAUGCGUCCCAUUAGUUAGUUGGUAAGGUAACGGCUAACCAAGACGAUGAUGGGUAGCGGGCCUGAGGGGGAGACCCCCCACACUUGUACUGCGGCACAGACCCGUCUCCUACGCGAGGCAGCAGUGUGGUAUAUUAGUCAAUGGUCGCUAGACUGGCCCUGCCAUGCCGCUUGCAGAAAGCCUGUCCUAUGGAUUGUAAUCUGUUUUUAUACAAGAAGAAACCCUCCCUCGCGUGGGGGCUUGACGGUACUGUAGGAAUAAGGAUCGGCUAACUCCGUG
rnacentral:rRNA from 1 species